AGAGUUUGAUCAUGGCUCAGGACGAACGCUGGCUGCGUGCUUAACACAUGCAAGUCGAACGAGGUGCUUGCACCUAGUGGCGAACGGGUGAGUAACACGUGAGCAACCUGCCCUUGGCUCUGGGAUAGCCUCCGGAAACGGGGAUUAAUACCGGACAGGACCUGGGAUCGCAUGAUCUUGGGUGGAAAGUUUUUCGGCCA
rnacentral:rRNA from 1 species